CUGAGCAGAGCUGAAUCACUACCUUGCUGGCAUACUAUAAACUGUUGCCUGCGAAAAAGGAACUGGGGACUUAACUAUUCAGGCUGCUUCCAUUCAAGUGUUCCAGAGGGUAUAUACACCUCCAGACUUCUCUUGGCUCUUUGGAGUUUAUAAGGAGCACGCAUCUGAAACUGAACUCUAACUAUAUUCCAGAGAUGUUCCUGAACAAGUUGCCUGUUGGUGCAAGCUGCAAAUGGGAGACUUAAAGGCCAAGCCCAUUCAUCCUAUGAGCCAGGGAAGGAAAGUCAAUCUGUUGAACAACCUUGAGAAUCAAAUCUUCUGAGCCUAGACCUCCUGCUGCCAGCAUGUCUAAGACAUCUUCCGUCUGAAAAUUGCCAGGUCUGAGAAUAAUUUCCCUCCAGCGCACUGUGAGGGACAGCCACAGAGCUGUAGAAAACACAUCUAGAUUUCCAACCCUCAAGGUGUGCCACCUGAGCAAGCUCCAUCCUUAGGGAAGAUUCAGAAAGACACAUCAUAAGGGGUGAAAACUCAGAUAUGCUGAACCUGAAAUAUACAAAAACCUUUAGAAAAUCUCCUAACAGAGGAACCCAAUUAAAUCUAUGCAAUUGGUGAAACAAAAGUACUUAGAUGAGCUACAGGUAAAACAGAGCCCUUUCUCCCUUAACCAAAACAGAGUAGAAAUUUGAUUUAAUAGUUGGAGAAAUUCUUGUCCCCAUACCAGUAUUAUAAGACAGUUUCCCCAUUUUUAUUUUAAUCAGUAUCAGAGUAGCACUGUGGAAACCAAAAUAUUUAUUUUUUUUUGUAAAAAAUGAUUAAGAUGUUCAAAUAAAGCCUAUAGGUUAGGGCGGUUCUGUGCUGGAGGACAGAGUGGGUGGGGCCAUUGCCAAAUUAGAACAUUACGAUUUUCUUGCUUGUGUACUUGGUUCUGACCCCGAUUGCCUUGUAUGAGAUUGUUAGAACACCUCCUACACUUUCAGAGACAUUCUACCUGACUGUGGAAUGCCUCAAGGGCAAUAAAAUAUUAAGUAGAAGAGGUACCAA